AGUUGCUUGUGUCGAGGGAGGGAGGGAGGGAACAGAGGGUGCGCGUGUGAAAGCUCCGCCCCCAGCCCUAGCUCCUCCUUCCCGCUUCAGCAGGUCCAGGCUCUGCGCCAGUGCAUCCUUCUCCAAGAGUGCGCUGCCUGGGCCCGCUUGCCCUGGAGUGUAAGUGCUGGGUAAAUAAGAACCGCCUGGCGCAGGCUGUGUCUACUCUUCACGCCGCCUUCUCAGAUCGGGCUGCAUGUCCCCACUCCGUGUUUACAUCUCGUUCCCGCUCCGGGUCUCGGUGACUGGCUCCUCAAGCCGGAGACGCGUGUGGUGCGGCGCGAUGCGGGCGCCAGCGCUGUGUGUGCUGGCGGUGCGCUGCCUUAGUGCGGGGGAAAGUGGAGGGAACGGUCCUGCGGGGCGUUCUGUCCAAGAAAAAGGACUGCAGCCUCGGGGAGCCAGGGUCCCCUCGCAGACGAGCUGCCAACGCCGCGGAGCCAUUUCUGUUCCACCCUAGGGGAGGAGUAGGGGGAUAUCUUUUAAAAGUUUAAUUGCAAAAUAAGUAGGUUAGUAAGGCCAUUUGUGGUUGCUGUUUCAGUAACUUCAGCAGUCAACGGAGAGAAGAGUGGAAACCUUACUGGAUGCGGACAGGAGAGCCAGUUACUGAAAGCAGAUAUAACGCGGAUCCUGUAAAGAGUGAAAGGAGAAGACCACUUUUAGUUGCCUCCCUGCUAGCACCCUGACUUGCUCUGCUUGAAUAAGAAUCCAAGGACACAAGCUAAGACAUUUGCACUGGGUUUAGAUCUACUGCGAUUCACAAAACACAAAAGAACUUUCAGUCAGAGGGUGACACAUAAUGAUUUUAGACAAAACUCAGUUUCUUCUGGUGGAAGCUAUUCAGAUUGUUUGGAGAGUGGGAGGAAAAAGGAGUGAAGCAUCGCUUAACAACAAAAGUAAUAAUGCAGGCAGAAUAUUAAAUGGAGAAGCCAGACUUUCAACACAUAGAAAAGAAAGCUAGUUCAGAAUGUUGAGAGACUUGGGAGCUGAUUGAUUGAAGGUGGCACUUAGAAGGUUGCCCUUUUUAAAGAUAAAGGCUGAUACUGUGACUCUGUCCCAGGGGACCUGAGUAAAGAACUCCUCAGAGAUGUGGGACCACUAUUCAGAACAAGAUUUGGAGAGCUGGGGCAGAGAAGAUUUUACCUUGGGGAUUUCUUCAGCUGCGAGUAGUAAAUUGGUUAUGCCUUAAUGAAUGAAGUUUGUCAAAUUUUAAGAUAGGAUGUUAUUACGCCUUUUAAAAGAAUGAGGUAGAGUAUAACAUCUGAUUUGGAGUUCUUUCCAGCAUUUUAAGGUCUUUAAAGAAAACAAAUUGGAGAAAAAUAAAUAAAUAUAGAUCAUGCUGUACAUAUA
rnacentral:lncRNA from 1 species